rnacentral:rRNA from 1 species
GCAGGCGGGAAACUAAGCGGAUCUUAAAAGUGCGGGGCUCAACCCCGUGAUGGGGUCCGAACUGGUUUUCUUGAGUGCAGGAGAGGAAAGCGGAAUUCCCAGUGUAGCGGUGAAAUGCGUAGAUAUUGGGAAGAACACCAGUGGCGAAGGCGGCUUUCUGGACUGUAACUGACGCUGAGGCUCGAAAGUGUGGGUAGCAAACA